GGAUUUCCCAUUGCCAACCCUUGGCAGGCUGUGAGGAAGAGGAAGAUGCCCACGGACACUGAGGCAGGCACCGGCGCAUCUCCACUGGGGAGAGGCCCUACGAGUGUCCCCAGUGUGGGAAGAGCUUCUCCAGCAACUCUCACUUGACCCAACACCAACGGAGGCACCGGUAAGGGAAGCCCUGCGAGUGCCCCGAGUGCGGGCAGAGCUUCGUGCGGUGCUCCAGCUCCAUCCCCCACUGGAGGAGGCACUCUGGGCACAGCCCGGGUCACUCACAUUCCCUGUGAUCCAUGUUGGCAACACACCUGUCUGGUUUUCCUUUUGGUUCAACCUUAAUUUUUUUCUCUUCUCCUUGUUUUUCCACUCUAGAAACCAAGAGGGAUCAAUCUGUCACUUCAAAACCACUCAAAUCCCACUGAAAAUAACUGAAUUUUAACCCAAAAGGGCUCAAUUCCACCUCAGAUUGCUUGUUCCCUCCUCAAAAAAACUCAUUCCCAUGCCAAACUCUCCAUUGCACAGCUGCCAGGGUGAGAUGGAGUUGGGAGGAGAUUGGUAGAAUUGGGAUCUCAAUUUGGAGCAAUGCGAUGGGGAUUGUGUGGGGCGGGCUGGGUGUGUGGGAUGUAUUUGAUAGCAAAUAAAACUUUCAGACUGUAUGGUUUCUGUCCCAUUCAUUUUCAGUCAGUUCUGUUUGCAGAGUGCUGCCUUCUCAGCUGAUUCAAUUUCUAUAAAAAUCCCCCUUUUAAAAUUGCGUAACCCAAACAAUCCAAAAACCAAUAUCCAAAUAAAACCACCCACACACAAUUUUUUU